rnacentral:rRNA from 1 species
GAGUGAUAAGUAGGUAAUUUUAAUUGGGGAAAUUAAAAAAUAAUAAGAAACUUUAUUAUGAAAGUUAGUGUUAAAAACUAUGGGAAAGAUACUCUAGGGAUAACAGCGUUAUUACUUUGGAGAGUACAUAUUGAUAAAGUAGUUUGCGACCUCGAUGUUGAAUUAACGGACCUUCUAGUUGGAGAGGACUAGGAAGGCAGAUUGUCCAUCUGUUAAAUCGUUACUUGAUCUGAGUUCAGACCGGA